rnacentral:rRNA from 1 species
GACGAACGCUGGCGGCGUGCUUAACACAUGCAAGUCGAACGGAAAGGCCCUGCUUUUGUGGGGUGCUCGAGUGGCGAACGGGUGAGUAACACGUGAGUAACCUGCCCUUGACUUUGGGAUAACUUCAGGAAACUGGGGCUAAUACCGGAUAGGAGCUCCUGCUGCAUGGUGGGGGUUGGAAAGUUUCGGCGGUUGGGGAUGGACUCGCGGCUUAUCAGCUUGGUGGUGGGGUAGUGGCUUACCAAGGCCUUGACGGGUAGCCGGCCUGAGAGGGUGACCGGCCACAUUGGGACUGAGAUACGGCCCAGACUCCUACGGGAGGCAGCAGUGGGGAAUAUUGCACAAUGGGCGGAAGCCUGAUGCAGCGACGCCGCGUGCGGGAUGACGGCCUUCGGGUUGUAAACCGCUUUCACCUGUGACGAAGCGUGAGUGACGGUAAUGGGUGAAGAAGCACCGGCUAACUACGUG